UACGUAGGGUGCGAGCGUUAAUCGGAAUUACUGGGCGUAAAGCGUGCGCAGGCGGCUUCGCAAGUCAGACGUGAAAGCCCCGGGCUUAACCUGGGAAUGGCGUUUGAAACUACGGAGCUGGAGUAUGGCAGAGGGGGGUGGAAUUCCACGUGUAGCGGUGAAAUGCGUAGAGAUGCGGAGGAACACCGAUGGCGAAGGCAGCCCCCUGGGCUAGCACUGACGCUCAGGCACGAAAGCGUGGGGAGCAAACAGG
rnacentral:rRNA from 1 species